AAUUUAUAAUCUUAUAUACUACAAUAAUUAAUAACAUAUUAGAUGUGAUUCAAUUUUUAAUACAAGCUGGAAAAUCCUAGAAUUGACGGGUUUAAAUCGAUAUUAAUACAAGAUGGUAUACUACAUGUGAAAUUCUUAAAUUAACAAUCAAACUACAAGUGUAUAAUCUUAAACACUAAACAAUAUAGAUAAUAUCAACAAAACAUAUACAACUCACAAUUUACUAUACAUUUAAAAUCAAAUAAAAUAAUAUCAUAUAUUUUUAAAUCAUCUUUACAAUAAAAGUUUUUAGUUUAACUAAAAUAUAAGCUUACCUGCGGUAUACUGCAGGUUAAUAUCUAGAUUAUAGGGCUUACUAGAUCUAAAGACGGGUCAUCAAAGAUUUCCUAAACUGAAGCAAAAUAUAUUGAAUAUUCAAAUAUCUAUCUGUUUUAUAAACAAAUAAGUCAAUUUAAUAUUUUAUAUACGAAAUCAAUUAAAUCUUAAUCACAUAAAAAUUAGCACAAAAAAAAAGUAUUCAACAAUUAAAAAAUUAUCAAAUCUUUGUGUUAUAUAAGUUUUGAUACUAUAUUCGAAUAAAGUGUAAUAUACCUUUUCAAUUUGUAUUCUUUAACUAAUUUAAGCUAACUAAUAUAUUUGCUAAUCUUAUACUUAUCAAAACCGACUAUAGUUUCUUAUCUCUAUAGUAUUUUUGCAAGAAGUUUUUGGUGGAUUUGGAUAGGGUCAUAUGGUACAUUCCCCUAUUAAAUAAAUAUAGUGCACUCCUAUGUUAUUAGCUAAAAUGUUUAGAAUAUAAUUCAGAGUCAUAUCAUUAAUAAAAUUAAUAUUAAUAAAAUAAAUGGUUUUUUGGCAAGACGGAUUUGGAGGCACGGGUUUUUGAAUCAACAUUAAUAAAAAAAGUAAAAUAUAAUUAAUCUACCGUUUCAAUACGGGUUAAAUCUUUAAUUUA
rnacentral:sRNA from 1 species